rnacentral:rRNA from 1 species
GCUUACGGCCAUACCACUCUGAAACACGCCGAUCUCGUCCGAUCUCGGAAGCUAAGCAGGGUCGGGCAUGGUUAGUACUUGGAUGGGAGACCGCCUGGGAAUACCAGGUGCUGUAAGCU